rnacentral:lncRNA from 1 species
GAAUGGUUUUUCAAAAUUUUAUCUUCUCUUCUUUCCUCAUGCUUGCACCACCCCCAAUUCCACCCUAGGUUACUACUACUGACCCCCUGCAUUGUUCCAGUCCCCUCCAGAAGGCAGUUUCACCCACUUUAGGAACCUAUGGUAUACACCUAUAGCCACUCACCUUUGCAAAUGAAAGGAGGUGUGAACUCUGGCUAUGGUAGCAGGACCCAUGAAGUUACUGGGCAGAGUCCAUCAGUGAUGGGUUAGAGGAAUGGAUGAUGCCUUUCUUUCGGAGGAAAGCUAGUCUAUACAAAGGAAUGAGCAGGUGACUAGGAGGAAGCAGAUGAGUGGUGAGCACCAUCUACUGGAAGAGAGCUUAACUGCGGAGAGGAGUGAAGCCCAGCAAAAGCCAUGGGACUGGAAGUAGGGAUUGUGGACAACAGAAACACUUUCAAGAGGUCUGCCAUCUGCUGGAAACUGAGGUAAGCCGCAGUGAAUCGAUGGAAGACUGCCUGACCUAAACACUGGGGGAGACCUGCGAUGCUACUGAAAGAGCGGCAGGAGGCAUAUAGAACUGGAAAUAAGCAAGAAUUGCUGUGGACUGCAGCGCUAAUGAGGGAGAACAAUA